GACGAACGCUGGCGGCGUGCUUAACACAUGCAAGUCGAACGGAAAGGCCCUGCUUUUGUGGGGUUCUCGAGUGGCGAACGGGUGAGUAACACGUGAGUAACCUGCCCUUGACUUUGGGAUAACUUCAGGAAACUGGUGCUAAUACCGGAUAGGAGCUCCUGCUGCAUGGUGGGGGUUGGAAAGUUUCGGCGGUUGGGGAUGGACUCGCGGGUUAUGAGCUUGUUGGUGGGGUAGUUGCUUACCCAGGCUUUGAAGGGUAGCCGGCAUGAGAGGGUGACCGGCGACAUGGGGACUGAGGGACGGAGCAGACGGGUACAGGAGGCAGCAGGGGGAAAUAUGGCACAAUGGGCGGAAGUGUGAUGAAGAAGCGCCGCGAGCGGGAUGACGGCUUUGGGGUUGGAAACCGCAGUAGGCUGUGACGAAGCGGGAGUGACGGUAAUGGGUGAAGAAGCACCGGCUAACUACGUG
rnacentral:rRNA from 1 species